rnacentral:guide_RNA from 1 species
ACAUAAUAAACAACGAAAUAUAUGAGGUAAAUGAGAGAUGAAAUUU